rnacentral:rRNA from 1 species
GAUGAACGCUGGCGGCGUGCCUAAUACAUGCAAGUCGAGCGGACCAAAGAGAGCUUGCUCUCUGAGGUUAGCGGCGGACGGGUGAGUAACACGUGGGUAACCUGCCUGUAAGACGGGGAUAACUUCGGGAAACCGAAGCUAAUACCGGAUGAUAAAGAGAAACGCCUGUUUCUUUUUUGAAAGUCGGCCUUGUGCUGACGCUUACAGAUGGGCCCGCGGCGCAUUAGCUAGUUGGUGAGGUAACGGCCAACCAAGGCGACGAUGCGUAGCCGACCUGAGAGGGUGAUCGGCCACACUGGGACUGAGACACGGCCCAGACUCCUACGGGAGGCAGCAGUAGGGAAUCUUCGGCAAUGGACGAAAGUCUGACCGAGCAACGCCGCGUGAGCGAUGAAGGCCUUCGGGUCGUAAAGCUCUGUUGUCAGAGAAGAACAAGUACCGGAGUAACUGCCGGUACCUUGACGGUACCUGACCAGAAAGCCACGGCUAACUACGUGCCAGCCGCCGCAGUAAUAC